rnacentral:rRNA from 1 species
GGUGGUCAUGGCGGGGUGGCUGCACCCGUUCCCAUUCCGAACACGGCCGUGAAACGCCCCAGCGCCAAUGGUACUUCGUCUUAAGACGCGGGAGAGUAGGUCGCCGCCAGGU